rnacentral:rRNA from 1 species
AUGAACGCUAGCUACAGGCUUAACACAUGCAAGUCGAGGGGCAGCAUGGUCUUAGCUUGCUAAGGCCGAUGGCGACCGGCGCACGGGUGAGUAACACGUAUCCAACCUGCCGUCUACUCUUGGACAGCCUUCUGAAAGGAAGAUUAAUACAAGAUGGCAUCAUGAGUCCGCAUGUUCACAUGAUUAAAGGUAUUCCGGUAGACGAUGGGGAUGCGUUCCAUUAGAUAGUAGGCGGGGUAACGGCCCACCUAGUCUUCGAUGGAUAGGGGUUCUGAGAGGAAGGUCCCCCACAUUGGAACUGAGACACGGUCCAAACUCCUACGGGAGGCAGCAGUGAGGAAUAUUGGUCAAUGGGCGAGAGCCUGAACCAGCCAAGUAGCGUGAAGGAUGACUGCCCUAUGGGUUGUAAACUUCUUUUAUAAAGGAAUAAAGUCGGGUAUGGAUACCCGUUUGCAUGUACUUUAUGAAUAAGGAUCGGCUAACUCCGUGCCAGCAGCCGCGGUAAUACGGAGGAUCCGAGCGUUAUCCGGAUUUAUUGGGUUUAAAGGGAGCGUAGAUGGAUGUUUAAGUCAGUUGUGAAAGUUUGCGGCUCAACCGUAAAAUUGCAGUUGAUACUGGAUAUCUUGAGUGCAGUUGAGGCAGGCGGAAUUCGUGGUGUAGCGGUGAAAUGCUUAGAUAUCACGAAGAACUCCGAUUGCGAAGGCAGCCUGCUAAGCUGCAACUGACAUUGAGGCUCGAAAGUGUGGGUAUCAAACAGGAUUAGAUACCCUGGUAGUCCACACGGUAAACGAUGAAUACUCGCUGUUUGCGAUAUACAGCAAGCGGCCAAGCGAAAGCGUUAAGUAUUCCACCUGGGGAGUACGCCGGCAACGGUGAAACUCAAAGGAAUUGACGGGGGCCCGCACAAGCGGAGGAACAUGUGGUUUAAUUCGAUGAUACGCGAGGAACCUUACCCGGGCUUAAAUUGCAGAUGAAUUACGGUGAAAGCCGUAAGCCGCAAGGCAUCUGUGAAGGUGCUGCAUGGUUGUCGUCAGCUCGUGCCGUGAGGUGUCGGCUUAAGUGCCAUAACGAGCGCAACCCUUGUUGUCAGUUACUAACAGGUUCCGCUGAGGACUCUGACAAGACUGCCAUCGUAGGAUGUGAGGAAGGUGGGGAUGACGUCAAAUCAGCACGGCCCUUACGUCCGGGGCUACACACGUGUUACAAUGGGGGGUACAGAGGGCCGCUACCACGCGAGUGGAUGCCAAUCCCCAAAACCUCUCUCAGUUCGGACUGGAGUCUGCAACCCGACUCCACGAAGCUGGAUUCGCUAGUAAUCGCGCAUCAGCCACGGCGCGGUGAAUACGUUCCCGGGCCUUGUACACACCGCCCGUCAAGCCAUGGGAGCCGGGGGUACCUGAAGUGCGUAACCGCGAGGAGCGCCCUAGGGUAAAACUGGUGACUGGGGCU